UGCUCACUCUGGUCUCAAAACUCCUGACCUUAAGCGAUCCUCUGGCCUCAGCCUCCCAAAGUGCUAGGAUUACAGACACGAGCCACCAUGGGCAGCCUGAUUACAAUUUCUUUUAAAGUUCACCCUUGGGAGAGUAAACAAAUCAGUCUUAUCCCAUUUCAAAAACCCUUUGGAAUAUGGAGCUUUCUUUGGUGUGGCAGAAAUGAUAGAUAGCAAACUAAGAGCCCUCAGCCAUUUUCUCAAUUAAAUUUAGGUUUCCAGAACUGUCUUUUCCUUACCCCAUGUGUCAUGACCAGCUUAAGUGUACCUGACUCCCUCAGAUCAGCCAUGACCACAGUCACCCGUUCUGCACACCAGUGUCUUCACUGCUCUCUGGGGUGAGAAGAUGCCAGAAGGAUCAAGAAAAGAAUGGGCAAUUUGGAAGAGCGAAGAUGGAUUUUCAGCAGAGUAUCAGUCAACACAUUUUUCAUAUGCCACACUCACCCGCCAGCCACCUUUCUCUGUACUGUAAGCAUUUUGUUGGUAUUGGUGUGAGGACAAUAGGAUAUGAAUUUAUAUGUAAUCUAGUAUCUUCAUUAUGAAUUGAAUAGUACGCAUAUAUGUUAACAUUUUAAUCUGUGUUGAAUUUACUAUUCUUCCAUAUAUACAUAUAUAUGAAAAGGUUGUUGUAGAGGCUUGAGGCUUAACCUAAUUAUUCCACUGGGAGAAAGGGCCUGGCACAAAGGAGUCUGCCUGUCUUGCCUGUUUAGUGCUCCCCGGUGACCGGUUGGGAUUUGCUUGCCCAAUCUCUAGACACUUCCAUGAAGCUAGACUAGACACGUAUUGAGGGUACUGCAGACAGUGCUACAACAGUGCCCACCCUGCUACCCACCAUACCAUGAGAGAAAAACCAAUCAAUGUUUGCAAAAUGGAAAAGGAAAAGUAUGUCCAUUGAAUUUCCUUCCAAGACCCAAAGUGCUUCAUUUCAAAAACCAAGGUUAAUCAAGGAAAAGCUUUUGCUGAGGGUCACCCUUCCAGGAGGCACACCUUGUGUUUAUCCAAACCUGAUCCCCAUGGUGGGGACUUAGCUGGAGCACCCACAUGUCAUGAGGAGGGAGGGACUCUCUUUCUCCUCCUUUGGAGCCAUUCUUUUCACUCAGCCCUGCUUCCAGCACCAAGUUCAUGCUGGAGAUCUGCUGGCAGAGGCUGGGAAGGAGAGAGGCCUACAGGAGCAGAGCUGGAUGAAUCUGCUGAGGGAGGUGGAGGCUACGGCAGACUCCUCCCAGCUCAUAUUUUAUCCUCAGUUCAGUAUGUGUUAUUUUGAGUGUGAGCAAAUGUUUAUAUACAAAUGAGAUUUUAAGUUAAUAAAUUAUACUAUGGCUAUUUUCCCCA